CACGCCCAGCGACUGUCUCAAAUUUGAUCCCUCGAAAACUUAACAGCGUUUUCCUCUCCAAACUUGGUUCUCAUCCACUGUCUUCUCUCCGAGGGAUAUCUGUUGGAGUCUGGCAGUCAUUUGCCUGUACACCCGUUGUCUCCAACCCAAUAUCUACAUAAUCCAACUACGUGGAAUGGGACAAUAGAGAAAGAAGGUUGGACUGAAGCAAUAGCAAUGGAUACAGAGAACAGACUGGCAUUGAGAAAUGUUCAUCGCUGUAGCCUCACCUCACGAAUUCUGAGCUAUGGCGCUGAUCGAUCAGUAUGAAGGUAUAUAUACCCCAACAUGUACCUAAAGGGACACAUAAGAGCUGGCGCUGGUGCACAGUGACAAGUCUUUGAAGCGCCUCACUCAGGGAAGUGACUCCAGUUCCAACCAGUCCACAAGGCACAAUGUGCUCAAACCAUGUGAGGUCGGUUGAACAGUUCAGAGCCAAGCCGUGGGACGUGAUGUGUCUUCCACAGCGGACUCCUGCAAGACAAGCCAAAAUAUCUUAGCAUAGUUAUA
rnacentral:lncRNA from 1 species